rnacentral:rRNA from 1 species
AGCGAACGCUGGCGGCAGGCUUAACACAUGCAAGUCGAGCGGGCACUUUCGGGUGUCAGCGGCGGACGGGUGAGUAACGCGUGGGAACGUGCCCUCUGGUUCGGAAUAACUCAGGGAAACUUGAGCUAAUACCGGAUACGCCCUUUUGGGGAAAGGCUUGCUGCCGGAGGAUCGGCCCGCGUCUGAUUAGCUAGUUGGUGAGGUAACGGCUCACCAAGGCGACGAUCAGUAGCUGGUCUGAGAGGAUGAUCAGCCACACUGGGACUGAGACACGGCCCAGACUCCUACGGGAGGCAGCAGUGGGGAAUAUUGGACAAUGGGCGCAAGCCUGAUCCAGCCAUGCCGCGUGAGUGAUCAAGGCCUUAGGGUUGUAAAGCUCUUUUAUCCGGGACGAUAAUGACGGUACCGGAGGAAUAAUCCCCGGCUAACUUCGUG